GGAUGUGAGGGUGAUCUGGCUGCGACAUCUGUCAUCCCAUUGAUCGCCAGGGUUGAUUCGGCUGAUCUGGCUGGCGAGGCGGGUGUCCCCUUCCUCCCUCACGCCUCCAUGUGCGUCCCUCCCGAAGCUGCGCACUCGGUCGAAGAGGACGACCUUCCCCGAUAGAGGAGAGGACCGUUCUUCGGUCAAGGGUAUACGAGUAGCUGCGCUCCCCUGCUAGAACCUCCAAACAAGCUCUCAUAAAAUCUUUUUUUCCACUCUAUCACUAUGGCUAAGAACAGUGCUGAGCACAGAGUAAGUGUUCAAUAAAUAUUUUUAAAAUGAAUGAAAAACAUCCUUU
ensembl:misc_RNA 7SK 7SK RNA